UGAAAUAAAUAUAGACGUCGAGGUCUUAAUUUUUAAGUUCUUCCCCCUAAGAAGUUGCCUAAAUAAUUUGUCUCAUUCAAACAGUGAUCCCACUUUUUCUAUUUUGAUAUAUAUUCUGUUAAAUUUAGAGGGCUCCACUUCAUUACAAAAAUCUAUUUUCUUAAUUUUUUUGUCAACCAUUACAAAAAUCCCCCAUAAUCUCAUUUUCAAUGGCCUACCUUUUGAUUUAUAACUGUCUUUUUAUUUUAUUUUUUACGGAAUAAAAUGGAAAACAAGUGUCUAUAUAUAUAUAAACGGAAUUACUCGAUCCAUAACAGCCACUCUCCAGUUUAAAAAAUAUUUUUUUAAACAAAUAAAAAAUCAAUUAUGGCGAAUCUUUCUUCUGGUUUUCAGACAUUCACAAUGGAUGAUCCAAUAACUCAACUUGCAGAACUAAACAACACUCUUCAUCAGUUCCAGAAAAUGUUCGCUCCCCCUUUCUCUUCUUCUCUCGAAUCUCUUUUCUUUCAUCAUCAUCAAAACCAACAAUAUUACCGAAUCAUGUUCCCGGGAAAUCUCUCGACGAUAAUAGUUUUCAUCAAGAGACUUUCCUCCCUUCUAAUAUUCACGACAACGACGAGUCUUUUUCAAGAAACGAUACCAAGAAGAGAAAAGAAUUAUUGUCGUCCGUGUCUACGUCGGAAAACAGUAUCUCUGAUCAAACGUUAUCUACCGUUUCUGCUCAAGUUUCCACUAAUGGAACCAAAAAUAAUACAGAGUUAUUCAAGGAGGGUAAGGUCGAAAAGUAGAGAAGAAGAGAAAGAGAGAGAAGUUGUUCAUGUUAGAGUAAAAAGAGGUCAAACCACUGAUAGCCAAAGCUUAGCAGAGCGGGUUCGACGAGGGAAAAUAACAAGAGAUUGAAAUGCUUGCAAGAUAUAGUCCCCGGAUGUUAUAAGGCAAUGGGAAUGGCUACGAUGCUGGACGAAAUAAUUAAUUACGUUCAGUCAUUACAAAAUCAAGUCGAGGUAUAACAUCCCUAAGACUUAACUAAGACCAUCAAAUUACAUAUUUUCUAAUGUAAUUACUAAUCCAUUUUUAAUGUGGAAUCAGUUUUUAUCUAUGAAGCUUACGGCAGCAAGUUCGUAUUAUGAAUUUAAUACUGUUACACUAGG